rnacentral:rRNA from 1 species
GACGAACGCUGGCGGCGUUCUUAACACAUGCAAGUCGAACGAAGUGGCGAACGGGUGAGUAACGCGUAAUCAACCUGCCCUUCAGAGGGGGACAACAGUUGGAAACGACUGCUAAUACCGCAUACUACAGGAGGGGAUUGCGUCUGAUUAGCUAGUUGGAGGGGUAACGGCCCACCAAGGCGAUGAUCAGUAGCAGGUCUGAGAGGAUGAACGGCCAAAUUGGGACUGUGACACGGCCCCGACUCCUACGGGAGGGAGCAGUGGGGAAUCUUCCGCAAUGGAAGAAAGUCUGACGGAGCAACGCCGCGUGAGUGAUGACGGCCUUCGGGUUGUAAAGCUCUGUUAAUCGGGACGCGGUACCGGAAUAGAAAGCCACGGCUAACUACGUGCCAGCAGCCGCGGUAAUUC